AUUGAACGCUGGCGGCAGGCUUAACACAUGCAAGUCGAGCGGGGUGAUGGUGCUUGCACUAUCACUUAGCGGCGGACGGGUGAGUAAUGCUUAGGAAUCUGCCUAUUAGUGGGGGACAACAUCUCGAAAGGGAUGCUAAUACCGCAUACGUCCUCCGGGAGAAAGCAGGGGAUCACUUGUGACCUUGCGCUAAUAGAUGAGCCUAAGUCGGAUUAGCGAGUUGGUGGGGCAAAGGCCUACCAAGGCGCCGAUCUGUAGCGGGUCUGAGAGGAUGAUCCGCCACACUGGGACUGAGACACGGCCCAGACUCCUACGGGAGGCAGCAGUGGGGAAUAUUGGACAAUGGGGGGAACCCUGAUCCAGCCUUGCCGCGUGUGUAAAGAAGGCCUUAUGGUUGUAAAGCACUUUAAGCGAGGAGGAGGCUCUUUUGGUUAAUACCCAAGAUGAGUGGACGUUACUCGCAGAAUAAGCACCGGCUAACUCUGUGCCAGCCGCCGCAGUAA
rnacentral:rRNA from 1 species